rnacentral:tRNA from 1 species
GCACCCGUAGCUCAGCUGGAUAGAGCGCUGCCCUCCGAGGGCAGAGGUCACUGGUUCGAAUCCAGUCGGGUGCACCA